ACCUUAUCCUGGUUAAAAUAAUGAUUAAUGAGUGUAAUAUAGAGAAUUAUAUACAGAUUAAGGAAUUAUAAUAUCCACAAAAUUAUAUAUACCAUGAAGACAUCAAAUUCAUCAAGGAAAUAAAAAGAGGAUGCUGGAAACAAUGACUCGAAAUCGAAAGAACCUAAAUUCUGGUAAAGAGAUACUAUUAGUCAUAAAAAAAUUGUAAUUGUCAGAGUUUCUUGGGAAAUAACAUCGUACAAAAUGUGCAAGUUUAUAAAUUCUGGCUAGAUUUAUGACAUGGAAUAACGUACUUGAAAUUGUUUUAUACGAUGCUAUGGCACUAUCUUUUUCAUUAUCUAUAAUACGAACUUCUUCUUCCAAUGCACUAAUCAUAAAAAGGAAUUUUAUGACAUUUAAAGUAAAAAUAAACAGGUACAACAAUAAACGGAAGAAAGUUCAUACUUAAUGG